rnacentral:rRNA from 1 species
UAAGGAAUAUUGGUCAAUGGACGCAAGUCUGAACCAGCCAUGCCGCGUGGAGGAUUAAGGCCCUCUGGGUUGUAAACUCCUUUUAUCUGAGAAGAAAUGUACUUUUUCUUGAGUACUUGACGGUACCAGAGGAAUAAGCACCGGCUAACUCCGUGCCAGCAGCCGCGGUAAUACGGAGGGUGCAAGCGUUAUCCGGAUUCACUGGGUUUAAAGGGUGCGUAGGUGGGCAGGUAAGUCAGUGGUGAAAUCUCCGGGCUUAACCCGGAAACUGCCGUUGAUACUAUUUGUCUUGAAUAUUGUGGAGGUAAGCGGAAUAUGUCAUGUAGCGGUGAAAUGCUUAGAUAUGACAUAGAACACCAAUUGCGAAGGCAGCUUACUACACAAUCAUUGACGCUGAGGCACGAAAGCGUGGGGAUCAAAC